CCUACGGGUGGCUGCAGUGGGGAAUAUUGGGCAAUGGAGGCAACUCUGACCCAGCAAUGCCGCGUGAGUGAUGAAGGUCAUUUUAUUGUAAAGCUCUUUUCUUUGGAACGAAUAAAUGACGGUACCAACGGAAUAAGCCUCGGCUACCUACGUGCCAGCAGCCGCGGUAAUACGUAGGGGGCAAGCGUUGUUCGGAAUGACUGGGCGUCAAGGGUGUGUAGGUGGUUUGAUAAGUUAGAUGUGUAAUACCCAGGGCUUAACUCGGGUGCUGCAUCUGAAACUGUUAGACUGGAGUACGGGGGAGGAGAGUGGAAUGCCUAGUGUAGCGGUGGAAUGCGUAGAUAUUAGGAAGAACA
rnacentral:rRNA from 1 species